ensembl:lncRNA
GUGUGGGAAGGGGUUGGACAAUGGGCUCUCCUGGGGUCUUCUAUUGGUUCCUAUGGGUCUCUAUUGACCUCUAUGGGUCCGUUGUGGCCCAUACUGUUCUAUACUGGUCCAUACUGGUCCAUACUGGUCUAUACUGGUCCAUACUGGUCCAUACUGGUCUAUACUGGUCCAUACUGGUUUAUACUGGUCCAUACUGGUCCAUACUGGGGUUGGAAGGGGUUGGACAAUGGGUUCUCCUGGGAUCUUCUAUUGGUUCCUAUGGGCCUCUAUUGACCACUAUGGGUCCCUAUUGGUCCAUACUGGUCCCUAUUGGUCUAUACUGGUUUCUACUGGUCCAUACUGGUCUAUACUGGUCCAUACUGGUCUAUACUGGUCUAUACUGGUGUGGGAAGGGGUUGGACAAUGGGUUCUCCUGGG